AAUCUUUCUUCUUCUUCUUCUUCUGCUUCUUC
rnacentral:sRNA from 1 species